rnacentral:misc_RNA from 1 species
AAAAAAAAAAAAAAAAAGAAUUUAUAUCUGCUUACUGCUGCAACAUGCAGCCCUAAACUGCACUAUCCAAAGAACAAAUGCAUUACGCCACUUUCUAAUACUUUUACAUGUUAAAUUAGACCAUUGACAUGGCCAAACGUCCUAAUACAAUUGAUGGUUACAUAAUUGAAUGCACAACAAUUGCGUCGAAACUGGAUUCUAAUAUUUUCAUGGGUGCCAAUAACUACAUGAUGCCCCCUUCUUGCAAUACCCGCUUUCAUAAAAUUUACAUACUCGCUGCCCUUUACCCUGAGGCUUGGAUGAACCUCCAUUUCCAAAACCAUAUGUUGGCUGCCUGUUCCAUGAACAUCUAUCCCUACCAAAACCUGAUUCUCGACCUUGAAAAUGGUAACUACGGUGGUCUCUUGGACUAGAAUAUCUGUUGUCCCCGCCAUUUCUUGGUUGGCUUCCCCAACUGCCUACACCCACAUUACCCGUAGAAACAGCUGGAGUUGAAUUAGUUCGUUGCUGAACUGACCCAUGACCAGUUCCCCAUGCCAUGCUUGCAUUUCCUUGAGGUGCUCCCCUAUUCAAGUUUGCACGUCGAGUGUUGGAACCAGUUUCCAUUUGGCUAACUGUUGAUGAAGUAGGAGCCCGGAUAUCUGAACCUUCAUCUCCUUGGUUAACAGUUGAAGAUGCCAGAGGUUCUAUUUCUGAGCGUGUUUUCCGUUGGUUUACUGAAACAUCACUGGGCUUUGUGUCUCCCUCUACUUCAGCACUCGAGGAUGAUUUUUGAGGAUCAAGAACAUCAGUCUGCCACAACCCAAGUGGUUCCUCCGUUAAAGUCGACUGAGAAGGCAUUGGAGAUGCCUUGUAAUGUUCAUCAGGUAUGAUCGAAUGCAGUGGCAUCUGAGAUAACUGGUGAGGUUUAUCGGUCACAGUCAACGGAGAAGGAAUUUGAGAUACUGCAUGUAGUUUAUUUGUUAUAGUUGGCUGAGAAGGCAUGUGAGAGAGCCGAAGUGGUUCAUCAGAUGCAGUCAACUGAGAAGGCAUUUGUACAUCACCAGUGGAGCUCAAUGCAUCACUUUUACCUGGAUCAGGUGCUGGGCUAAAUGGCGCAACAGGACUAAAGCAAUCAUCGUCAGAACCUUGUGUCAAUUCCCGACCACAGCUCAUUUUUGAAGUAGGAGAAGGUAAUCCACCAAGAGAUUCCAUUGCUUCAACUUCAGCCAGCAGAUCUGAAACAGAUUCAUCAACUAAAGAGCAGAACUCAUUGGGCUCAGGAACAAUCGGCUGCCAACUAGAUACAUCAAUUGCUGGGUGCGUUGGCGAAGAAUGAGUCAAUUGGUCAGUUCCUGAAGUAGGAGUAGCAGCAUGAUCACUGGCCCCUUCAGUUGGUUUCCGUGAAGAUGCAUUCACAACAUUUGAAUCCCAUUCCUCAACAGAAGGUUUGGCAGGAGUGGGAGAAUAGCUACCCCAGUUACCAGCUACUUCAGGAAGUUGUCCACCACCAACCACUAAACUGGAAGCAGUGCUCCAACUAGGCCCUGAAUCCUGGGCAGGAACAUUUGAACAAGCAGACAGUUUGUUAUUAGCAGGCUGACCUUUCGAAUCACCAUCACUAUGCUUUGGUGUUCGACUAAGCAGAUCAGAGAAACCUAUUUCCUGAUUCUGCUCAGAUUUCUCUGUAGACUUGGACACAGACACAAAACCAGAGUUGGAAUCCCAUCCACUUGAGGAACUGUUUAUUGGCUGAGAACCCCAGUUCUGUCCAGAGGAUUGGCUUGAAUGACCCUCACUGUCGGCUCGUUCAAAUUUCUCAUCACUCUCUUUGAUAUUAGUUUUACCCUCAGCGGUCCUGUGCGAAUUCCUGUCCGCAUUUCUAGGAUUGGAACUCCAUUUUUCAUCCACAUGCCCUUCCCUUAAUUGAAGCAACAGACUUCCAAAAAGCUUCUCAGAAGAUGAAGGUGAGAGGCUAGCCAAAGAUUUACCACCUUCAGACAACUCCCAGCCUUGCAAGGAACUUUGAGCCUGUGCAUCAUUGGUAAUUGCAACAUCCACAGCCUUAGUCCAUGUGGAAGAAUGGGAGCCCAGCUCAUUACUACUUAAGAGUUCAUUAUCACCUUUAGCAUUGACACUAACAGCAUUUUGCACUGGCCUCUGCCCAUGAUCAACUCCUUUACCAUCUACCCAAGUAGCAUCAGUACUCAGACUGAGCCCAUGUUCCCACUUUUUACCUGCAUCAUUAGAGGUAACCGUUGCUUCCUGAGGCAGUAAAUACCUGUUGCAAUGCUGCAGUGACUCUUUAGGGAGCUGGCCAACCAAUGCAUCAGUCAAAAGAAUAGAGUCAUCUUGCUUCUCAUUUAUCCUCCAUACCCUAAGAUCAGAAGGAAAAAGCCCACUUGUAUUCCAUUUACGCAGAUGGAUCAUAGAAAAUGGCCCUUGAACUUUUCCUAAUGGAUCCUGAUAGUGCCACAGUUUUUCUGUCUCAAAAUCAGUAACAGAUAGCUCUCUCCCUGAAGAAAGUGGUGAUGGUAUAACAGCUGAUGCAACCGCAGGAAGUGAAUCAGAUUGUACAGCUGAUUGACUAUUCCAAUCACCAGCUGCUGAGCCAGUGGCACCUAAAUGAUUCCCUGAUGUAUUCAGACUAUUAAGCCCAUAUGCUCCCCCUCCCUGACUCCAUGUGGAUUUAUCAACUCUCUCAUGAACCCAAGCACUACCAUCCCUAUCCACAUAAAAAGUGCACAUGUUUCUAUUUCUCUCACAGGCAGUAGCUAAAUUCUUUUCUGCACUGUUUCCUACACCAUGCCCAUCAACUUCUCUUAGUGAAGAAUUGAGCUCAGCAGCCUUUCUGUCAACACCUGUUAAUCUUGGUCUCAAGUGGUUACCUUGUUCCUUUUCAUGUGAUCCUCCAGCGCCUUCUUCAGAUUCACGACUUGGAUCCAUAUUUGGGUCUGUAUGUAUGUUGGGUAUCUCAAGUCGCCUGCACUCACGUUCCUUCGGUGACUUCAGAAGUACUAAUUUUUCCACACAUUCUCUGAGCUCUUUCCCAUGUCCCUUCUCGAUAGCUUGAUCAUGAAGAGGAUUAAACUGUGAUAUCUCUGCUUCCAGCCAAUCACUAACUUUGAAAGGCUGAAGCGCCAUUGCUUUUUCUUGAAUCUCACCCACUUUCAAAUGUUUGAUAAGCCCACAUUUUAUACUCUGGCGUAAAUGUCUGCAUUCAUCCUCUGAAAACUCCUGAUUUGAAAUUUCAUCAAUUGAUAUAACCUCUUUCUUGUCCAAAUUUAAUAUUUCAAGCAUAAUAUCGGUUGUUCUUGAGCCAACUUUAUAUGAUUCAGCCACCUUGCUAGUACCUACAACUUGGACAAGCCUGUGCAUAUCUUGCUUUUGAUCACCACCCAAAAUCCUAAUUCGCACAAAUGACCCAACAACCCUUUCAUGAAACUUCUCGAAAUCAUCCAUUAGGUUCUCCAUCAAAUUACGCUUCAAGUAUAACAAGUUAAUAUUGUGAACAUCUAUUGCUGCAUAUUCAUCUGGAUUUGGAUAAAUUUGUGGUCCCCUCUCAUCCAUCUUUUUGUGUGUUUUACACCUGUCAUUACUUGCAAUCAGUUGACCAUCAGUGCUUCCAGCAGCCUCUAACUGUCCACCAACAGCAUCAGCAACUCCCACUUUAACAGCAUCAUCAGCUGAAGAUUCUUCUUUUAUAAGAAAAUGGCAUUCAAGAAGCUUCAGCAUUUCAAGAUGACCCACACAUGGCUUUCCAAACAGAGUUAAGAGCCUUGAAUCACAAACAAUUUGAGAUUUGUGUGGAUCACGGAGAUUGUUUCUUUUUACGUAUUCCAGUAAAAGACCUUGGACAUCAAACUGAGAAAGCAUAGAUAUGUCCCCAUUUUUCAUGUGUGCUACAAACUCCAAGAGCUCCUUUGUUGCCCAUGUUGUUCCUUCAAGCAAAGGUGUGACUUUGUCACUGCCUGAUUUGUCCAAAACUAGAGAGUGGUUCUCAUUGAGAAGGUUUGGUUGAUCCUUAGUUUUUCUUUUCUUAGAAUGAUUUGCCUCCACAUUUCCAUAGCAGUUGUCCAAACAAGAGCUUUUCUCGUCAUGAUCACGAUAAAUUUCACCUGAAGAUGACUCCUUAGGAACCACAAUGCCAGCUCCUUUCCAAGAAUUUUUGGUUUUAGGUAACUCAUCUCCCUUCCAAGGAUUUUUAGCUCUCGUUAGCUCAUCUAUUGUUAAAGACAGCUUAGCUUUCAAGUAAACCCAAUAGACCUUAAAGAGAUACUCCCAGCUAGUUUUGUCAUCAAAAUCCACUUGAACCAUUUCCGUAUUUGCCAGCCAAAUAUUUUCAAUCAGCAUUAUAGUUCUCAUGCAUGUUCCACAAAAUCCUUUAUUCCCUCUUACACACACAUAAUCAGCAUCUUUGGUGCAUGCAUUGCACAAGGAGUAUGUACAAGUAUAGCACAUAUAAUGUGAAGCCUUCUGACAACUGCUACAUAUAUGCCAUCCACAAUUCCAUUUAGCUUUUGAUCGAAAGAAUGAUUCGUCCCUCUUGAUACAAGCUGGAUGAUAUGCCUUAGGGCAACCCCGGCGAUCACAAAGCACGAGACUGCCACCAUCAAAACAAAUAAAGCAAACAUCCUCCUCAUCUUUCUUCUUCCUCUGAGACAGAGAUGGCGGCCCGGUUUUCCCCUGAAUUCUGGGAGGUCGGCCCCGCUUCCGCUUGAUCGUACUCAUAUCCGCAACUGCAACUGUCGCAACAGUUCUAACCUCGACAUCCACCAUGGACACAUCUCGUGUAUGUGCAGCAACAGCAGUAGAAGUUCCAACGAGCUGGGAAUCGUCCAUUUCCCGAAUCGUCUCGCAUUGAUCGAUGGUCAUAGGAUCAGCGCCACGUAAAGAAUUGUCAUAUUCUUUAUCUUGUUGGGUACAAGGUCUAUACUCCUCCAGCUUCAGCUGUAGCUGCUGCUGUUGUUGGUCCAUGUAUUGGAAAAGAAUAGAAUUAAAUUGAAUUUGAGAAAAUUACUGUACUCUACAGACUGAUUAGAUGGAAAUAGAGAAGAAAGAUAAACGAGAAAAAGAAGAUGCAAAUUGAAGUUGAGAAAACCCUAAGUUUGAUUUUGGGAUUUUGGAGGAGGUGGUCAUCGUUGAUGAAGAAAGAAAACAACUAUAGUGGGCACAUGGAAAUAGGCUGGUUAAG